UACGGAGGAUGCGAGCGUUAUCCGGAUUUAUUGGGUUUAAAGGGUGCGCAGGCGGGCAGUUAAGUCAGCGGUAAAAGCCCGGGGCUCAACCCCGGCGAGCCGUUGAAACUGGUUGUCUUGAGUUGGAGAGAAGUAUGCGGAAUGCGCGGUGUAGCGGUGAAAUGCAUAGAUAUCGCGCAGAACUCCGAUUGCGAAGGCAGCAUACCGGCUCCAUACUGACGCUGAGGCACGAAAGUGCGGGGAUCGAA
rnacentral:rRNA from 1 species